rnacentral:rRNA from 2 species
UAGGGAAUCUUCCGCAAUGGGCGAAAGCUUGACGGAGCAACGCCGCGUGAGUGAUGAAGGUCUUCGGAUCGUAAAACUCUGUUAUUAGGGAAGAACAAAUGUGUAAGUAACUAUGCACGUCUUGACGGUACCUAAUCAGAAAGCCACGGCUAACUACGUGCCAGCAGCCGCGGUAAUACGUAGGUGGCAAGCGUUAUCCGGAAUUAUUGGGCGUAAAGCGCGCGUAGGCGGUUUUUUAAGUCUGAUGUGAAAGCCCACGGCUCAACCGUGGAGGGUCAUUGGAAACUGGAAAACUUGAGUGCAGAAGAGGAAAGUGGAAUUCCAUGUGUAGCGGUGAAAUGCGCAGAGAUAUGGAGGAACACCAGUGGCGAAGGCGACUUUCUGGUCUGUAACUGACGCUGAUGUGCGAAAGCGUGGGGAUCAAACAGG